rnacentral:tRNA from 1 species
GGAAAAUUAGUUAAAAUUGAACAUAAUACUUGCUUGUCAAGCUUGAGUUGCUAAAAUAGGUGUUAGCAUUUUCUU